GAUGAACGCUAGCGGGAGGCUUAACACAUGCAAGUCGAGGGGCAGCACGAUGUAGCAAUACAUUGGUGGCGACCGGCAGACGGGUGAGUAACGCGUAUGUAACCUACCCUGUACAGGGGGAUAACCCGGAGAAAUUCGGACUAAUACUCCAUGGAAAUAUUGAGGGGCAUCUUGAGAUAUUUAAAGUUCCGGCGGUACGGGAUGGGCAUGCGUAACAUUAGCUAGUUGGUAAGGUAACGGCUUACCAAGGCUGUGAUGUUUAGGGGUCCUGAGAGGGUGAUCCCCCACACUGGUACUGAGACACGGACCAGACUCCUACGGGAGGCAGCAGUGAGGAAUAUUGGUCAAUGGGCGCAAGCCUGAACCAGCCAUCCCGCGUGCAGGAAGACGGCCCUAUGGGUUGUAAACUGCUUUUCCAGGGGGAGAAACUCCCGUACGAGUACGGGAUUGACGGUACCCUGGGAAUAAGCAUCGGCUAACUCCGUGCCAGCAGCCGCAGUAACAC
rnacentral:rRNA from 1 species